rnacentral:rRNA from 1 species
CGGGUAGAGUAACACGUAAACAACCUGCCUUCAAGAUGGGGACAACAGACGGAAACGACUGCUAAUACCGAAUACGAUCCGAAAGUCGCAUGACAUUUGGAUGAAAGGGUGGCCUAUCGAAGAAGCUAUCGCUUGAAGAGGGGUUUGCGUCCGAUUAGGUAGUUGGUGAGGUAACGGCCCACCAAGCCGACGACCGGUAGCCGGUCUGAGAGGAUGAACGGCCACACUGGAACUGAGACACGGUCCAGACUCCUACGGGAGGCAGCAGGC